GAAAAGUGGGGCUGGAGGGACCCUGCCUUCCUGGAGCAGUGGUGUUUGGCAGGGACUGUGCGUGCUGCCUGAAGGGAUCAGUCUCUCUGUCCUGGUGUCACCGCCAUGCUUCAAUCCUAGGGAGAUGCACAGCUGUGGCUGACAUACGCGAUGUGUUACUGAGCAAAGGCCACUCUCUUACUUGCUCCUUCUGCUUGCAACACAAAUCAGAGAAGCAAUAACAAGCCUCUGUCUCUUAAGAUAAAAGGGAUAUCAGUUUUCACCGGGCUUUUCUCAAAUUGUCAGAAAUCAGGUCAAGGGGCUGGGUUAAACAAUCGCUGCCUGGCCUUUCCUUCAAGGUAUUUGAGUCCAGCUAUUCACACAGAAUGGAGCAUUAUGAGACAGAGCCUCCUCUGGCUUAUCAUCAGAGUGAAGCCAACACUCCAGGCACAGCGCAACUGGGACCACUGUGUUGUUACUUGGAAACCGGCCAGGUCUGCAGCUGAGACAUUAUCAAAAUGUGCUGCCUGUGAGCAAGUAUCAGCCUGAAUCUCUGUGAUUAUAAAGAAAUCUGAAUCUUGAAUUUCAUCACAAAAACUUAUUUUGUUGGGGCUAAUCAAAGUGACGGGCAGAGACCUCAACGCCUGGGAUCUUGUCUGUGUGUGUAGCUACCACAGGACAGAUGCACAAUAGACAUGCAGUGAGAUGUGUAUCAGCACAGCUCAUCCCACCAUGCCAAGCCAAGUUAUUGGUGGGAAUUGCACUACUUGCUGAUUGAGAUCCCUUUCUGUGAUGGAAAAUCCAAGAAAGGCUCAAGAGGCCAAGUAGACACCAAGGAGAAAUUUACUCUUACUGUAUGUUAGCCUUCUAAAACUUUGAUGCCUGGUCCUAGCUGCUCACCUAGGAGCUUUCUACAGGCAUAGGGGGAAGGUAUUCCCAGGGAAUGACUGAUUUCACCUCUCUCUGACAGUUGUUUUAAGAUGGAAAUGCUCAUCUGGAUGCAGAGGCAUCUGAGACAACAAGUUUAGACUCGAAUCCCACUUUCAGAUGCUUAACAUUAGAUGAGAUAAAUUCCUUAUGAGGGUUCUUGAAUUUUAAUUCUUUCUUCAAAUCUAUUGCUGACAGCUCAGAUAUUUCCCUGCAAGGUUUCUUUUCUUUACGGUUUAAGGGAAAAAGUUCACCAUUCCAACUUAGUGGAGACUUGAGCAGGUAAGGAUUUGUACAGUAAAUCCUUAUUCGAAUUUCAAUUAAAUUUCAAGUAAAGUAGCUAAAACCAGGCAGUAAUAAAAUGAUGACAGACACUUUUUCACCAGUGAUGGGGUAUUGCACAUUAUAGAACUUAUUUUUC